GCCACACCUCAGCACCACAUCAAUAGGGCUCUUGCAACAGGAGAGUACAGCUGAAAGAAAUGUAAAUUUUAGACCUUAUUUAAGAAGUCUCUGGGAAAACCCACAGGAGAGUAAAAAACCAAGAGGAUUAGAGGAAAUGUUAGCCUCUAACACCUAGAGCUAGAACAAAGUGUGGACAACUUAACUCCCAGCCAGAGAAGCAGCUUCACACUAAAAACAUACUUGUCUCAGUUCUUUUUACCCAGUCAUGUCUAGCAUUCAACAAAAAUUGAUGACACACGAACAGGCGAAACAACGCAACUUGAAGAGACAGGACAAGCAUCAGAGCCAGACUCAGUCAUGGCUGAGAUUCUGUAAUUAUUAGACCAGAAAUGUAAAGUUCCUCUGAAUAACAGGCUACGGGCUCUAAUGGAAAAAGUGGACCAUAUGAAAGAACAGAUGGGCAAUGUAAGCAGAGAGAAGAAAAUUGUUGAAAACACGAGCUUUGAAUGAAGAGACCUUCCAAACAGGCUUUGUUGAAAACUAUCGAAGAGUCAUCUCUUAUCUACAUCAGAAAUGUCAGCAUUAUAGAUGAUGCCUGGUCAUUCAGAGAGGACCUCACCUACUCUUGUACAGCAAAGGAAAAAACGCAAUAGAUUUCUCUUGAUUCCAAAAAGCCUCUGCUCUUAGGUCACCUGUACAAGGUAAUUACUGCCCCAGUUACUCUCUUGAUGUCACUGUAUGUCCCAAAUGUUAUCUUCAGUAUUUAAUUUCAAUAUUUUAUGAUGCUCAUAGACUUUUACAAUCCUGUAGGUAAAAAGGUCUUUACAGACCACCCAUGGUGGCUCCUGCCUAUAAUCCUACACUUUGAGAGGCCAAGGUAGGAGAUUCCUUCAGCCCAGGAGUUUGAGACCAGUUUGGGCAACAUAGAAAGAUCCUGUUUCUACACAAAAUACAAAGAUUAGCCAAGUGUGGUGGUGCAUGCCUGCUGUCCCAGCUACUCAGGAGGCUGAGGAGGAAAGAUCACUUGAGCUCAGGAGGUUGGAGCUGCAGUUAGCCAAGAUUGUGUCACUGCACUCCAACUUGGGCGACAGAGUGAGACUCUGACUUAAAGAAAAAAAAUGUUUUACAGAUGAUGUUUGGAUAGUGCAUGGGCUUCAUGUGUUCUUGCACUGUUUGUAGAAGUAGCCUUUAGGGUGAGUCUAGAAGGAUGGGUAGGACUUGCGCAUGAGAAGGGAGGAGGAAGCAGUGUAAGCAGAGGGUGGAGCUGGCCUGUAGGAUGUGUUGGGGGAAGUGUUCCUGUGUUUACCUAUAUUUCCCUCUUGUCAUAAUUGAUCAUGGCCUAUGUGCCUUGUAGAAGACAAGGUUAGGACUAUGCGGGGCUGAGGAGAUGAGGGUGUUCAGACAGGGACAGGGACAGGGACAGGGACAUGUGCACUAAGCUUUGUUGAAGCUCCUUCAUCCCCAUUUGGUAGGUUUCUUCUGUGUUUAGCUCAUAUCCUAGAAUUAUUUUGCUUCUAUAUAGAAAUCUAACAUGAUUAUUUAACUUUCGAAAGGUUUUUUUGUCUCUAAAACCUAAUCUGGUUACACGUGGG
rnacentral:lncRNA from 13 species